GUGGUUGGUUAGGUGGACGCCGCUUUUCUUUCCGAAGCAGUUUGUCGGUUUGUCUCCUUGGCUGUGACACAUUGUGACAUCGCUGGCGUUGUAGAAGACUGGUGCCUAGACUGACGGGCAGUAUGAACGCAUCGUUGACAUCGUACAACUUUCGCAAGAAACAACAACGUUGUCGGUACAACUUUGUCAGCCGGGGCUCCGUGCACAGUUGGUAUCCGCCGAUCAGUCAUGAAAAUGCCGCACAACCACCUCUCGUAGUUGCCUCAGACGAAGAAAAUGAUGUUCUGCGCGUCUAUAUCGACUUAACUGGUGACACUCCGUCCUCCAAAUACACUGGGGGGGAACACGGUGAUCUGAAUAUUUCGGG